rnacentral:rRNA from 1 species
AUUGAACGCUGGCGGCAUGCCCUACACAUGCAAGUCGAACGGUAACAGGUCUUCGGAUGCUGACGAGUGGCGAACGGGUGAGUAAUACAUCGGAACGUGCCUAGUAGUGGGGAAUAACUACGCGAAAGAGAGGCUAAUACCGCAUGAGAUCUACGGAUGAAAGCAGGGGAUAGCAAGACCUUGUGCUACUAGAGCGGCAGAUGGCAGAUUAGGUAGUUGGUGGGAUAAAAGCUUACCAAGCCGACGAUCUGUAGCUGGUCUGAGAGGACGAUCAGCCACACUGGGACUGAGACACGGCCCAGACUCCUACGGGAGGCAGCAGUGGGGAAUUUUGGACAAUGGGCGCAAGCCUGAUCCAGCAAUGCCGCGUGCAGGAUGAAGGCCUUCGGGUUGUAAACUGCUUUUGUACGGAACGAAAAGCCCUGGGUUAAUACCCUGGGGUCAUGACGGUACCGUAAGAAUAAGCACCGGCUAACUACGUGCCAGCCGCCGCCGUAAUAC